CCCUUAGAUGUUCUGGGCCGCACGCGCGCUACACUGACGGAGGCAGCGAGCAUGUCCUUCGCCGAGAGGUGUGGGGAAUCUUGUGAGUCUCCGUCGUGCUGGGGAUAGAUGGUUGCAAUUGUCGAUCUUGAACGAGGAAUUCCUAGUAAGCGCGAGUCAUCAGCUCGCGCUGAUUACGUCCCUGCCCUUUGUACACACCGCCCGUCGCUCCUACCGAUUGAGUGCUCAGGUGAAUAAUUCGGACUGCAGCAAUGUUUGGAUCCCGAACGUUGCAGCGGAAAGUUUAGUGAACCUUAUCACUUAGAGGAAGGAGAAGUCGUAACA
rnacentral:rRNA from 1 species